rnacentral:misc_RNA from 1 species
UGCAGCUGAUAUAUGGAGCCUUGGCUGCACUGUCCUAGAGAUGCUUACUCGCCAAUUUCCUUACUCCCACUUGGAAAAUCCAAUGCAGGUACUGUAUCAGAUUGGAAAGGGGGAACCUCCAGCUGUGCCUAAUUCCCUUUCGGAAGAUGCACGCGAUUUCAUUAACCACUGUCUGCAAGUGGAUCCAAGUGCCCGUCCAACUGCUACUCAGCUCUUGGAGCAUCCAUUUGUGAAACAAACACUUCCCUCUUCCUUGGGCUCAGCUUCACCUCUCAAUCUGGGCAGGAGGCUUUGAAAUCUUGUUCUCUAUUCUUCCUCAUUGGAUCCUCAAAAUUUUGAAGGGGGUUUAACGUGGAUGCAUCUCCUAAAAUCUGUAUUUGAACACUGAGUUCAGGUAUUUGAAACCACAUCGAGAGCUGUUUGCAAUUGUGGUCAAUACCUUUGCUGCAGUGUAAUUUUGAGCCCCCAACCCCUCUCGGUUCUUUCCUCUUCCCGACACCUCUCCCACUCCACCAUGGAAGGAAAGACGAGGUCGUCGGGGUAUUGUGUUGUAUAUGUAGUUUUAAUUCAUAGUUGAGUGCUUGAGUCAGCAUGGGAUGUAAAGAUAGAUAACCCAUUUGAAAUGUAUAUAUCACUAGAAGAGGCCCAUUUGUUGCUUCAUACCUCUCUUUUCUUGUUUAUUUUCUUUUUUACUUGCUUGUUCCGUUGUGUUGUAAAAGCUAAUGUGUACUGCAUUUCAAUUUUCUCGGAACAAGCUGUGGGCUAGCAGUAAAA